UUAAGCGACUAAGCGUACACGGUGGAUGCCCUGGCAGUCAGAGGCGAUGAAGGACGUGCUAAUCUGCGAUAAGCGUCGGUGAGGUGAUAUGAACCGUUAUAACCGGCGAUUUCCGAAUGGGGAAACCCAGUGUGUUUCGACACACUAUCAUUAACUGAAUCCAUAGGUUAAUGAGGCGAACCGGGGGAACUGAAACAUCUAAGUACCCCGAGGAAAAGAAAUCAACCGAGAUUCCCCCAGUAGCGGCGAGCGAACGGGGAGGAGCCCAGAGCCUGAAUCAGUGUGUGUGUUAGUGGAAGCGUCUGGAAAGGCGUGCGAUACAGGGUGACAGCCUCGUACACAAAAAUGCACAUAUUGUGAGCUCGAUGAGUAGGGCGGGACACGUGGUAUCCUGUCUGAAUAUGGGGGGACCAUCCUCCAAGGCUAAAUACUCCUGACUGACCGAUAGUGAACCAGUACCGUGAGGGAAAGGCGAAAAGAACCCCGGCGAGGGGAGUGAAAAAGAACCUGAAACCGUGUACGUACAAGCAGUGGGAGCCUCUUAAUGGGGUGACUGCGUACCUUUUGUAUAAUGGGUCAGCGACUUAUAUUCUGUAGCAAGGUUAACCGAAUAGGGGAGCCGAAGGGAAACCGAGUCUUAACUGGGCGUUAAGUUGCAGGGUAUAGACCCGAAACCCGGUGAUCUAGCCAUGGGCAGGUUGAAGGUUGGGUAACACUAACUGGAGGACCGAACCGACUAAUGUUGAAAAAUUAGCGGAUGACUUGUGGCUGGGGGUGAAAGGCCAAUCAAACCGGGAGAUAGCUGGUUCUCCCCGAAAGCUAUUUAGGUAGCGCCUCGUGAAUUCAUCUCCGGGGGUAGAGCACUGUUUCGGCAAGGGGGUCAUCCCGACUUACCAACCCGAUGCAAACUGCGAAUACCGGAGAAUGUUAUCACGGGAGACACACGGCGGGUGCUAACGUCCGUCGUGAAGAGGGAAACAACCCAGACCGCCAGCUAAGGUCCCAAAGUCAUGGUUAAGUGGGAAACGAUGUGGGAAGGCCCAGACAGCCAGGAUGUUGGCUUAGAAGCAGCCAUCAUUUAAAGAAAGCGUAAUAGCUCACUGGUCGAGUCGGCCUGCGCGGAAGAUGUAACGGGGCUAAACCAUGCACCGAAGCUGCGGCAGCGACACUAUGUGUUGUUGGGUAGGGGAGCGUUCUGUAAGCCUGUGAAGGUGGCCUGUGAGGGUUGCUGGAGGUAUCAGAAGUGCGAAUGCUGACAUAAGUAACGAUAAAGCGGGUGAAAAGCCCGCUCGCCGGAAGACCAAGGGUUCCUGUCCAACGUUAAUCGGGGCAGGGUGAGUCGACCCCUAAGGCGAGGCCGAAAGGCGUAGUCGAUGGGAAACAGGUUAAUAUUCCUGUACUUGGUGUUACUGCGAAGGGGGGACGGAGAAGGCUAUGUUGGCCGGGCGACGGUUGUCCCGGUUUAAGCGUGUAGGCUGGUUUUCCAGGCAAAUCCGGAAAACCAAGGCUGAGGCGUGAUGACGAGGCACUACGGUGCUGAAGCGACAAAUGCCCUGCUUCCAGGAAAAGCCUCUAAGCAUCAGGUAACAUCAAAUCGUACCCCAAACCGACACAGGUGGUCAGGUAGAGAAUACCAAGGCGCUUGAGAGAACUCGGGUGAAGGAACUAGGCAAAAUGGUGCCGUAACUUCGGGAGAAGGCACGCUGAUAUGUAGGUGAAGCGACUUGCUCGUGGAGCUGAAAUCAGUCGAAGAUACCAGCUGGCUGCAACUGUUUAUUAAAAACACAGCACUGUGCAAACACGAAAGUGGACGUAUACGGUGUGACGCCUGCCCGGUGCCGGAAGGUUAAUUGAUGGGGUUAGCGGUAACGCGAAGCUCUUGAUCGAAGCCCCGGUAAACGGCGGCCGUAACUAUAACGGUCCUAAGGUAGCGAAAUUCCUUGUCGGGUAAGUUCCGACCUGCACGAAUGGCGUAAUGAUGGCCAGGCUGUCUCCACCCGAGACUCAGUGAAAUUGAACUCGCUGUGAAGAUGCAGUGUACCCGCGGCAAGACGGAAAGACCCCGUGAACCUUUACUAUAGCUUGACACUGAACAUUGAGCCUUGAUGUGUAGGAUAGGUGGGAGGCUUUGAAGUGUGGACGCCAGUCUGCAUGGAGCCGACCUUGAAAUACCACCCUUUAAUGUUUGAUGUUCUAACGUUGGCCCGUAAUCCGGGUUGCGGACAGUGUCUGGUGGGUAGUUUGACUGGGGCGGUCUCCUCCUAAAGAGUAACGGAGGAGCACGAAGGUUGGCUAAUCCUGGUCGGACAUCAGGAGGUUAGUGCAAUGGCAUAAGCCAGCUUGACUGCGAGCGUGACGGCGCGAGCAGGUGCGAAAGCAGGUCAUAGUGAUCCGGUGGUUCUGAAUGGAAGGGCCAUCGCUCAACGGAUAAAAGGUACUCCGGGGAUAACAGGCUGAUACCGCCCAAGAGUUCAUAUCGACGGCGGUGUUUGGCACCUCGAUGUCGGCUCAUCACAUCCUGGGGCUGAAGUAGGUCCCAAGGGUAUGGCUGUUCGCCAUUUAAAGUGGUACGCGAGCUGGGUUUAGAACGUCGUGAGACAGUUCGGUCCCUAUCUGCCGUGGGCGCUGGAGAACUGAGGGGGGCUGCUCCUAGUACGAGAGGACCGGAGUGGACGCAUCACUGGUGUUCGGGUUGUCAUGCCAAUGGCACUGCCCGGUAGCUAAAUGCGGAAGAGAUAAGUGCUGAAAGCAUCUAAGCACGAAACUUGCCCCGAGAUGAGUUCUCCCUGACUCCUUGAGAGUCCUGAAGGAACGUUGAAGACGACGACGUUGAUAGGCCGGGUGUGUAAGCGCAGCGAUGCGUUGAGCUAACCGGUACUAAUGAACCGUGAGGCUUAACCUU
rnacentral:rRNA from 2 species